UGCCGCGUGUGUGAAGAAGGCCUUCGGGUUGUAAAGCACUUUUAUCAGGAACGAAAUAGUACUGGCUAAUACGCGGUGGGGCUGACGGUACCUGAGGAAUAAGCACCGGCUAACUUCGUGCCAGCAGCCGCGGUAAUACGAAGGGUGCAAGCGUUAAUCGGAAUUACUGGGCGUAAAGCGUGCGUAGGCGGUUUGUUAAGUCUGUUGUGAAAUCCCCGGGCUCAACCUGGGAAUGGCAAUGGAUACUGGCAAGCUAGAGUGUGAUAGAGGAUGGUGGAAUUCCCGGUGUAGCGGUGAAAUGCGUAAAGAUCGGGAGGAACAUCAGUGGCGAAGGCGGCCAUCUGGAUCAACACUGACGCUGAGGCACGAAAGCGUGGGGAGCAAACAGGAUUAAAUACCCUGGUAGUCCACGCCCUAAACGAUGCCAACUGGAUGUUGGUCUCAACUCGGAGAUCAAUGUCGAAGCUAACGCGUUAAUUUCGCCCCCUGGGGAGUACAGUCGCGAGACUGAAUCUCAGAGGAUGUGACGGGGGCGCGCACACGCUGUAGAGUAUGUGUUAUAUUUC
rnacentral:rRNA from 1 species